CAUUGGAGUAAGUUUGUCUUGUUACACUAUUGUUAACUUCUUGUUGCUUUAGUUUGUUUGUAGUUGAUAACUUUGAAAUGCCGCAUACAAACAUUCUACUGCCUCUGUUGAUAGUCACCCGGUUACCAUGGCUACAAGGGACCUACGCGAAUGGUUGCGUUGGUUUGUUUUCAAUGUCAGGGAACUUUGUCCAGAGUGGUGUAUUGCAAACAGUUGCAGUGUCGACUCUUGAAGAAUGCAAGCAGGCAUGCCUUAAUGAAAAAGAAUGCCUGACGAUAAACUAUAAACUAAAGACGUUCACGUGUGAGUUGAACAGCGCAUCGCACCUGUCACACCCUAUACAUGACAGACGCAGUGACGACGCAUACUCGACGCAUACAUGGUGUGAUGAAACCGCUGGUCAUAUGCAGCAAUCUGUUCUGCACCACCGGUUACGCAUGCCAGAUGAACGCUGACGGGAUUUCUUACAGAUGCGAUGCAGUUGUUCAAAUAUCAGUGAAGGAAACUCGGGAAUUACAAAUAGCGUUAGUCAAAGUCAAAUAAGUUUUGUCCAUAGUAAACGUACUAUAAAAAACAAACAUUAUAUUAUAACCUAAGGUUUCUCUAUGGCCAAAUAUUUAUCACGUCAGACAGUAUAAGAUUAGUGUCAAAAUUCCCUGAUUCCUCCCCAUCAGAUAGAACGGUUUUAAUUUUUAAAAAAGCAAUCUAUGUGACCCGAGGUUCUAGUUGUCAUUCGACACCCUCUUGAUUCAACUCUGAAGGUCUCCUGGCCAAUAACCACAUUCAUGAC